rnacentral:rRNA from 1 species
UACAGAGGGUGCGAGCGUUAAUCGGAAUUACUGGGCGUAAAGCGCACGUAGGCGGCUUGGUAUGUCGGGUGUGAAAUCCCCGGGCUCAACCUGGGAACUGCAUCCGAAACUGCCUUGCUAGAGUAUGGGAGAGGGAAGUGGAAUUUCCGGUGUAGCGGUGAAAUGCGUAGAUAUCUGGAGGAACACCGGUGGCGAAGGCGGCAUCCUGGACCGAUAUUGACGCUGAUGCGCGAAAGCCAGGGGAGCAAACGGG